UACGUAGGGGGCGAGCGUUGUCCGGAAUUAUUGGGCGUAAAGAGCGUGUAGGCGGUUGGGUAAGUCUGCCGUGAAAACCUGGGGCUCAACCCCAGGCGUGCGGUGGAUACUGCCGGGCUAGAGGGUGGUAGAGGCGAGUGGAAUUCCCGGUGUAGCGGUGAAAUGCGCAGAUAUCGGGAGGAACACCAGUAGCGAAGGCGGCUCGCUGGGCCAUACCUGACGCUGAGACGCGAAAGCGUGGGGAGCAAACAGG
rnacentral:rRNA from 1 species